rnacentral:rRNA from 1 species
GACGAACGCUGGCGGCGUGCUUAACACAUGCAAGUCGAACGGAAAGGCCCUGCUUUUGUGGGGUGCUCGAGUGGCGAACGGGUGAGUAACACGUGAGUAACCUGCCCUUGACUUUGGGAUAACUUCAGGAAACUGGGGAUACUACCGGAUAGGAGCUCCUGCUGCAUGGGGGGGGUUGGAACGUUUCGGCGGUUGGGGAUGGACUCGCGGCUUAUCAGCUUGUUGGUUGGGUAGUGGCUUACCAAGGCUUUGACGGGUAGCCGGCCUGAGAGGGUGACCGGCCACAUUGGGCCUGAGAGACGGACCAGACUCCUACGGGAGGCAGCGGGGGGGAAUAUUGCACAAUGGGCGGAAGUGUGUUGCAGCAACGCCGCGUGCGUGAUGCCGGCCUUCGGGUUGGAAACCGCUUUAGCCUGUGACGAUGCUGGAGUGACGGUAAUGGGUGAAGAAGCACCGGCUAACUACGUG